UACGUAGGUGGCAAGCGUUGUCCGGAAUUACUGGGCGUAAAGGGCGUGUAGGCGGCCAUUUAAGUCAGACGUGAAAGCCCAAGGCUUAACCAUGGGACUGCGUUUGAAACUGGAUGGCUUGAGGAUCGGAGAGGGCAGUGGAAUUCCCAGUGUAGCGGUGAAAUGCGUAGAUAUUGGGAGGAACACCAGUGGCGAAGGCGACUGCCUGGACGACACCUGACGCUGAGGCGCGAAAGCUAGGGGAGCAAACGGG
rnacentral:rRNA from 1 species